rnacentral:rRNA from 1 species
UACGUAGGGGGCGAGCGUUGUCCGGAUUUAUUGGGCGUAAAGAGCUCGUAGGCGGUUUGGCAAGUCGGGUGUGAAAACUCCGGGCUCAACUCGGAGACGCCACUCGAUACUGCCAUGACUCGAGUCCGGUAGGGGAGUGCGGAAUUCCUGGUGUAGCGGUGAAAUGCGCAGAUAUCGGGAGGAACACCGGUGGCGAAGGCGGUUCUCUGGGCCUUACCUGACGCUGAGGAGCGAAAGCGUGGGGAGCAAACAGG